rnacentral:rRNA from 1 species
UACGGGGGGAGCAAGCGUUGUUCGGAUUUACUGGGCGUAAAGGGCGCGUAGGCGGUCGUGACAAGUCACUUGUGAAAUCUCCGGGCUUAACUCGGAAAGGUCAAGUGAUACUGUCGGACUAGAGUACAGAAGGGGCAACUGGAAUUCUCGGUGUAGCGGUGAAAUGCGUAGAUAUCGAGAGGAACACCUGCGGCGAAGGCGGCUACCUGGCCAAAUACUGACACUGAGGCACGAAAGCGUGGGUAGCAAACAGG